rnacentral:rRNA from 1 species
UACGGAGGGUGCAAGCGUUAUCCGGAUUCACUGGGUUUAAAGGGUGCGUAGGUGGGCAAGUAAGUCAGUGGUGAAAUCUCCGGGCUUAACCCGGAAACUGCCAUUGAUACUAUUUGUCUUGAAUACUGUGGAGGUCAGCGGAAUAUGUCAUGUAGCGGUGAAAUGCUUAGAUAUGACAUAGAACACCAAUUGCGAAGGCAGCUGGCUACACAAAUAUUGACACUGAGGCACGAAAGCGUGGGGAGUCAAACAGG